UGUGUGUGUGUGUGUGUGUGUGUGUGUGUGUGUGUGUGUGUGUGUGUGUGUGUGUGUGUGUGUGUGUGUUGUUUGUUGAGAUGUCUCGUUAGGUUUUGGAGAGGAAUGUACAAUCAUCAUGAUCACACUGUGCUGCCUCGGCAAUCAACGGAAUCUUGUCUUGCAAGCAUCGUACGGGAAACAGAGAAUUGGCGGAAAGAGAAAUCAAUCCUAGAACAGAAAAUUAAGGCACUGAAAAAGCGUCUUGGCUAUGUUGAUCAUGAAGCAGACGAUUCAUCCAUUUCCGAUAUGAAAGGAAGAGAAGACAAGAGCAUGGAUGGUAUGGACAUAGCAAUGGCUGACAUUGACCAGUCAACGUCUGUCGUGGACGAUGAAGAUCUAGAUUAUCAUCCUGUUGAGUCACUAGAAGGUGAAGAUAAAGGUGGAGAUGAAACGAGUGCUAUAACUAAUGAGGAGAUAUCGGAUGAAGCAUAGCUUGCAAUUGUAUGUGUCAAGAAUGUAUUAGAGCAACGAAUUCAAGUUGGACAGAUGACUGUCAGUGAGUCAUUGUGAUAUAUAUGUGAUUAUUAUUAGGCUGUUAGUCACAUGACAGUAAUCACCAAGUGUGUAUAUGACAAUACAGUAUUUUGGUCUGACCAAACGUGCGUAUUUGUUUUAUGUACUUCAACUCUUUGGACAACUAGGAAUACUCUAAUACUCAUUUACGUUGCAUCUUGGAAUGGUUGGCUUGCUAUUACUACUAAAUCUAAACUUAAAUCAUCAUGUUAUUGGAUUACUCUGUAUUAUACCAGUUUACAGAAGGUUUCAAAAUGACAGCACUGGCUCUUUUGUUUUGAUCAAACUGUAGUUACUCUUCUAACGAACCAUUAAAUGUUUGAUCUUGAAUGGCGUGAAAGUCAACAGGAAAGCCUUUGCAAGGUUAAACUGCAACUGUAGUUAGAUUCUAGUGUGCUAUCUGGCCCAUUUUAUCCAGGGUUGAUUUAGAUUGAGUAGCAAGCAUUUGUUUGGAAUAAUUUUUUGGAAUGGUUAGAAUACACAAAUACAAAGCAUUCCAGAAUUUAUCUGAAGCUGCAGAGCAGUAAUAACUUGUAUCUUUUUCGUUUCCAGUCUCCUUGCUACCCUUUUUCUUACCAAAGUUGCAAUUGACUGUACACGUUUGAACUACAGUCUUAUGUGUUUGGAAGUUACAUACUACAUUAUCAAUUAGCUAAUCUCUAACUGCAACAUAAUUGGCUUAUUUGUUUAGUUUGUCUUAACAGUGGAAUCACAUUUAUAAUUUGGUUGUGAAGACAUGCAUACAGCGCGGUUACAGCAUUUUAAAGUAUUAUAUAAAGCACUGGGAUAUGUAAGUAGGUUAUCAAAUUUUAAGUCAUACUAUAGUUAUGUCUCAGUCAGCUAUUUGUGACAGCAAUGUGUGUAGUUAAUUAAAUUAUUUUAGUAUGAGUAAUGUAUUUGCUAGAAUGUCAAUGAUACAGAAAGCUGUAUGUGCCGAGUGGAGUGAGUGAAGAAGUCGUGAAUGGCAGUGCUAAGUUUAGGAGUCGAGAGAGAGUACGAGCAUUGUCAUAUUACCACCAGAGAUACAUAUGAAGCUUUGAUUAAGGUGAUAAAGGGAGGAAGUGAUUUUAAUGUGGCUGCCAUUGUCUAGUUGACAAGUAGCCAACUCGGUUACAGUCUAACUUGUCUGACUUUACACGGAGGGCAUAUGGGACAAACUACAUUGAAACUCUUCGAGUCCAACUUGAUGCCAACUGUCGUAUUCGUAGAGUAUAUUUCUCUGAUCGUCUCUACUCUGAAGAUGAACUGCCUGCAGAAUUCAAGCUUUUUCUGCCGGUCUCUCAAGCAGCAGAGCAGAAGUGACAUCAAGAAACUCUAGAGAUUCUCCAUUCUAUAUCAUAAACAAUAGAGAGAAAAGAAAGAUAGCCUAGAGUGUAUUGUUGACAACAGUAUCUAUGUUUGGGAUCACUAAGUAGAGAGGCUAAGUGGCUUUCGCUAGAGUAGCAGUCUCUGCUACUAGAAGUAGUUGUCAUGAGUGUGACACAUUUGUGUAACAUAAGAAUGACACACAUUGAU